rnacentral:rRNA from 1 species
AGAGUUUGAUCAUGGCUCAGAUUGAACGCUGGCGGCAUGCUUUACACAUGCAAGUCGAACGGUAACAGGCCGCAAGGUGCUGACGGGUGGCGAACGGGUGAGUAAUGUAUCGGAACGUGCCCAGUCGUGGGGGAUAACGCAGCGAAAGCUGCGCUAAUACCGCAUACGAUCUAUGGAUGAAAGCGGGGGACCGUAAGGCCUCGCGCGAUUGGAGCGGCCGAUAUCAGAUUAGGUAGUUGGUGGGGUAAAGGCUCACCAAGCCAACGAUCUGUAGCUGGUCUGAGAGGACGACCAGCCACACUGGGACUGAGACACGGCCCAGACUCCUACGGGAGGCAGCAGUGGGGAAUUUUGGACAAUGGGCGCAAGCCUGAUCCAGCAAUGCCGCGUGCAGGAAGAAGGCCUUCGGGUUGUAAACUGCUUUUGUACGGAACGAAACGGUCCUGGUUAAUACCUGGGGCUAAUGACGGUACCGUAAGAAUAAGCACCGGCUAACUACGUGCCAGCA